ensembl:lncRNA
GAACCGUGGCUGCGCGGGUGCAGGAGGGCUGAGAGGAGCUACUCCUCGUUACGGUCAGGAGGGGCGGCCUGAGGAGAUACCCCUUGUCCAAGCAACAGAAACAUGAGGUCGGUCCAGCCUGGGGCAGUUUCUCUCCAAGAGAAGAUGGAGGAAGCACAGCUAAGUGACUGGAAAUUUGACAUGCCUUCAUGUCAAGAGAUACCUGUACCUCUUGGAAACAACAAGCCCUUUGUGGUACCUCAGUGGGAUCAUCAGUGGGGCAUGGCCCUCUCUUGGACAACGGUGGAACUCUGGCAUUAUAUAGACGAAAAUGAAGGAUGCAGUCCACGUGUGAGGGCCAAAGAGGCCUGGGCGUCUCCAUUUUCUUGAGACUUCCAAUAUAUGGGGGAGGGGGAGAGGAAUGCAACUGAAACAGCUUUAUAAAAAUUAUAUGUGUUAUAUUUAUAUGUUGUAUUUUUAAAUGUUUAUGCUGAGUAAAUGAAUUCUUUACCUUUAAGAAUGUAAUAUUAUUUGCUACAUUAAGAUUAUCACAGAAUUGAUAAAAUGGGGGUUAUACACAAUAUUCUCGCACAAUGGAACACAAAUUUCGGGUUGUGUGAUGCACUUUAUCUUUUCCCCAUUUCUGUCAUGCAUCUUAGAAAUUGUGUGAAUGACGUCAUUUAGAGAUAGUCUCUUUUUAAAAUAAUUUAUUUUGAUUGUAGUUGAUUUACAGUGUUUCAGGAGAACAGUGUGACUCAGUCAUACAUACAUAUGUAUAUCUAUUAUAUUUCAGUUUCCAGCAUAGGUUAUUACAAGAUACCAACUAUAGUCUCCUGUGCCAUACAGUAAGUCCUUGUUUGUUUAUUUUAUAUAGUAAUGUGUAUCUAUUAAUCCCAAAUUCCUAAUUUAUCUCUUUGUCCCUUUCCCCUUUAGUAACCAUUAGUUUAGUUUCUAAGUCGGUGAGUCUGUUUCUGCUUUGUAAAUAAGUUCAUUUGUAUCUUUUUUUGAGAUUACACAUAUAAGUGAUAUGAUACAUCUUUGUCUGACUUACUCCACUUUGUAUGAAUAUAAAGUCUUAACAUGAGACGCUUUGUGAGUUUGUGUGUCAAAUAACCCUUUCUGCCUUUCCAUUUCCACCCUAUUCCUCUAUAGACCAUAGCUUUCCAAAAAAUGUCAUUCUUGGGCAAGUUACUUACUUUUCUGGCUCUUGUUCUCAUUCCUAAAAUGCAUGUGUGUCUGAGGCAGGGGUAAAGGUAUGGGGGUCCCCAGCACCACCACAAUCCAAGAUGAGACCCCAGAUUUCCCCAGGGUGAGAAGCAUUUUCCCAGCUUUUAGAGAGAAGGUCACUUCAGUCCCCAGGGAAACCCCACUUGGGAUGAUUUCUCUGUGGUCCUCUCUCAGUCCAAGGCCCCUCCUUUGCAGUCCAUGCUAUCCAUGGGGAACCAGCCACUACGAAUGCCCCAACCCUUCUGAGAAGGGGGUGGCUGAGGAAGGAGCCGUGAACAGUGUCAUUUUAUUGAUUUUAUUGACGUUUAGUUGACUUACAGUGUUAUUUUCACGUGUACAGCACAGUGAUUCAGAUAGGUGGGUGGAUAGACAGUUCUUUACCCAAUUCUUUCCCCUACAGAUCAUUACCAGAUCGUGAGUGUAGGUCCUUGUGCUAUAC